CCCCUAGAUGUUCUGGGCCGCACGCGCGCUACACUGAACAGUUCAACAAGUCUUAACCUUGGCCGAUAGGUCUGGGUAAUCUUUGAACGCUGUUCGUGAUUGGGAUAGACCUUUGCAAUUAUGGGUCUUCAACGAGGAAUUCCUAGUAAACGCAAGACAUCAGCUUGCAUUGAUUACGUCCCUGCCCUUUGUACACACCGCCCGUCGCACCUACCGAUUGAAUGGUCCGGUGAAAUCUCGGGACGGCGGCUUGGUCGCUUGCGUCCGACUGCUGAAACUUGAUUAAACCAUAUCAUUUAGAGGAAGGUGAANUCGUANCA
rnacentral:rRNA from 1 species